UACGGAGGGUGCAAGCGUUAUCCGGAUUCACUGGGGUUAAAGGGUGCGUAGGUGGGCAGGUAAGUCAGUGGUGAAAUCUCCGGGCUUAACCCGGAAACUGCCGUUGAUACUAUCUGUCUUGAAUAUCGUGGAGGUGAGCGGAAUAUGUCAUGUAGCGGUGAAAUGCUUAGAUAUGACAUAGAACAUCAAUUGCGAAGGCAGCUCGCUACACGGUUAUUGACACUGAGGCACGAAAGCGUGGGGAUCAAACAGG
rnacentral:rRNA from 1 species